ACGGGGGGAGCAAGCGUUGUUCGGAUUUACUGGGCGUAAAGGGCGCGUAGGCGGCCACCGCAAGUCGACUGUGAAAUCUCCGGGCUUAACCCGGAAAGGUCAGCCGAUACUGCGGGGCUUGAGUGCAGGAGAGGAACGCGGAAUUCCAGGUGUAGCGGUGAAAUGCGUAGAUAUCAGGAGGAACACCGGUGGCGAAGGCGCUCAUCUGGCCCAAUACUGACGCUGAGGCGCGAAAGCUAGGGGAGCAAACGGGA
rnacentral:rRNA from 1 species